CCAAUAGCGUAUAUUAAAGUUGCUGCAGUUAAAAAGCUCGUAGUUGAAUUUCGGGACCAUCAUGUCGGUCGUGCCUCGGUACGUACUGGCAUUGUUGGUUUCUACCUUCUGACGAACCAUGAUGUCAUUUAUUUGGUGUCGUGGGAAAUCAGGACUGUUACUUUGAAAACAUUAGAGUGUUUAAAGCAGGCUCACGCUUGAAUACAUUAGCAUGGAAUAAUGAAAUAGGACGUUUGAUUCUAUUUUGUUGGUUUCUAGGAUCGACGUAAUGAUUAAUAGGGAUAGUUGGGGGCAUUAGUAUUCAAUUGUCAGAGGUGAAAUUCUUGGAUUUAUUGAAGACUAACUACUGCGAAAGCAUUUGCCAAGGAUGUUUUCAUUAAUCAAGAACGAAAGUUAGGGGAUCGAAGACGAUCAGAUACCGUCGUAGUCUUAACCAUAAACUAUGCCGACUAGGGAUCGGAUGAUGUUAAUUUUUUAAUGACUCAUUCGGCGCCUUACG
rnacentral:rRNA from 1 species